rnacentral:lncRNA from 1 species
AUGCACAGGUAGAUUUCAAUGUCUCUCAGCUCAGCUUCAGGCAUGCCUGGAAGUUGAGGAUGUAUGCCAUGGAAUACAGCAUUGGAGGCUUCAAGCAGCUGAAACUAACUUGCUUGGACCAAGGGCUCACAACUGGGGACAUGGCCCAAAUUGCACUAGCAUUUACUCUGUGCCAAGGCAACCAGCUUCCAGAGUGAGACAAGAUGGGGGUCUGGGGCUAUGAACAUGUGAAUAAAGUCCUGAGCUAUAAAAAUAAUGAAUAAAUAAAAACCAGGAAAAUAUUUCAAGUUCUUAUGUGGCAACAUCUCUAGAUCUAAAAUGUAGCAGGAGGAAAAUAAUUGAAGACAUUUGUCAUGUGCUACAGGUGAACUGUGACCACAUCUGACAUCACCUGCAGCUUCCUUAUAACAUGCCCACUGGGCAGAGAGGAUGAGAGGCAGGAGAGCACCAGUGUAUUUAGGACCAACUUUUGAAAUUUAACCAUUAAGUUCAGUCCCUCCUACUCUCCAUAAAACAGGCCCAUGUCUUUUCCAUCUUGGUCUUCCCAGCACUCAAUAAAAGGUUUUGAAAUAGAUAAUGACCAAAAUGCGUGCUAUAAUUUUAGUUCCUAAUUUAAAUGGCAAAAAAAUGCAUAUUUCACUUUCUAAUUGGGAAUCUGGCAAGCUGUAUUCAAAGCAUUUUAGAGUCUUGCUUGCUAUUCACUAUUUCUUCUCCUGUUCUCCAAAUAUAAGACAAAAGAAUAACCAUUUAUGGAAAGUUAAAUGCUAAGCUACAUGUCUUCAUGGAUUGCAUCUUCUUUGAGAAACAUAUAUUCACCCUACAUUCCAUGAGAUUUUUCUUCUUUAUUGAAAGGUAAAAUAUUCUGACAUUUCUGGGAUGAUUUUGAUCAUAUUGAUUACCCUUGUUUAUUUAUCAAUUACCAUUUGUUAGUGACCAGC